GUGUGUAUUAAAGAUAUCAGACAAUUGUGUAUUUACGAGUGUUUGGUUAACACAUGAGCUUGCGCCCAGGUUUAUCAAAAGUACCAGAAAUGAUCCUUCCGCAGGUUCACCUACGGAAA
rnacentral:misc_RNA from 1 species